AGUGAACGCUGGCGGUAGGCCUAACACAUGCAAGUCGAACGGCAGCACAGUAAGAGCUUGCUCUUACGGGUGGCGAGUGGCGGACGGGUGAGGAAUACAUCGGAAUCUACUUUUUCGUGGGGGAUAACGUAGGGAAACUUACGCUAAUACCGCAUACGACCUACGGGUGAAAGCAGGGGAUCUUCGGACCAUGCGCGAUUGAAUGAGCCGAUGUCGGAUUAGCUAGUUGGCGGGGUAAAGGCCCACCAAGGCGACGAUCCGUAGCUGGUCUGAGAGGAUGAUCAGCCACACUGGAACUGAGACACGGUCCAGACUCCUACGGGAGGCAGCAGUGGGGAAUAUUGGACAAAGGGCGCAAGCCUGAUCCAGCCAUACCGCGUGGGUGAAGAAGGCCUUCGGGUUGUAAAGCCCUUUUGUUGGGAAAGAAAAGCAGCAGGUUAAUACCCCGCUGUUCUGACGGUACCCAAAGAAUAAGCACCGGCUAACUUCGUG
rnacentral:rRNA from 1 species